AGCGCCGGCCGGGAGCGGACCUCCAUACGCCGGUGUCCGAGCUGCUUCUCCCCGGCCCUCCCCACAGAAGCCUCACGACCGUAUCCAACAUGGAGAAACAUCUGUUCAACCUGAAAUUCGCAGCCAAAGAACUGAACAGGAGUGCCAAAAAGUGCGACAAGGAGGAAAAGGCCGAAAAGGCCAAAAUUAAAAAGGCCAUUCAGAAGGGCAACAUGGAAGUUGCGAGGAUACACGCCGAAAAUGCCAUCCGCCAGAAGAAUCAAGCGGUGAACUUCUUGAGAAUGAGCGCACGAGUGGAUGCGGUGGCUGCCAGAGUCCAGACUGCAGUGACGAUGGGCAAAGUGACCAAGUCCAUGGCGGGUGUGGUUAAGUCGAUGGACGCGACGUUGAAAACUAUGAAUCUGGAAAAGAUCUCUGCUUUGAUGGACAAAUUCGAACACCAGUUUGAGACCCUGGACGUCCAGACGCAGCAAAUGGAAGACACGAUGAGCAGCACGACAACGCUGACCACUCCCCAGAACCAAGUGGAUAUGCUACUCCAGGAAAUGGCAGAUGAGGCGGGCCUCGAUCUCAACAUGGAGCUGCCUCAGGGCCAGACCGGUUCCGUGGGAACGAGCGUGGCUUCGGCUGAGCAAGAUGAACUGUCCCAGAGACUGGCCCGCCUUCGGGAUCAAGUCUGAUGGCCGAACCAGUCCGAGAUUUCCUUUUGACGUGCUCUUGUGUUUUAGAGAAAUGUCCAGGAAUUGUGCCACAAUGCCUAACAAUCUAAGAACCUACAGCCCUCUCCAGAUAACGCUAAGAAAUUUCAAUUUUUUUCUCCACUUCUAACUGGAUUUUAAAGCUCUUUAUCACUUACGAUGAAGUGUAUUUUUAUAGCUGCCUUUUAACAGAACUGGUUCAUUUGCUCAACAUAAAUCUAGGAAAAAAUUGGCAGCACUCUAGCCCUCGUGUAUUCCGUUUUCACUUAAAAUUAUCAGAUUGAAGUUACUUUAGUGUGGUUGAUGGUACAUAGACUGACAAAUCGGCGCAUUAAAAAUGAGAAGAGGAGGAAUGGGUACUUAGUUUAGGAACAAAUAUGUAAACACUUUGUUCAACUUAUUCGGUGGGAAAUAUUCUUUCUGUAUAUCAUUUGGUUUUCUCUUUUUGUCUUCAAAGAACGACUGCAAUUGACUUUAAUUUAUUCUCAUAACUUAUGCUAAAGUUAUCUUAGAAGAGUAUUGCAAAAUACUCUUUACAUUCUGUUCAUGUAAUAAUGGAGUUUGUGUAACUGGGGGGGAAAUGCCAAGUAAUUUCAUUUAUUAUCAGGAAAAAUUACAUUUUUGUUUAUAUUCUAUUUACCAAGAGUUCUUAAGACUUAAGCAUAAGAUAAUUCCUGAUUAAGAUAAUUUCUAUUUGUUUUCUAAUGAAAGCCAACCCUUAAUAGACUUCUGAUCAAAAUAAUGUUCAUCAACAUGACAGUCCUAUUAUGUGCCAAACAUGGCCAAAGAUUUGGUCCAGCUAAGCCCUGGGACUGUAAUUAUAGGUUUUGUUUUUAUUUAAUAACCAAAAAUAUAAAUAAAAUUAGAACAGCAUUUUUAAUUUCUAUUUGUAUGUAUUAUUUUGUCUUAAAACAACUCUUUUAAACCCUCAAAAAGCAUAACUUAAUGCUAUAGAUACACAAAACUUAAGUGCACGUUUAGCCAGCUAGCAAUUUAGAACAAAGGAAUGAGUUGGGAUUCGAAGGAAAGAGAGAGGCUGGAAGCCACCAGCCGCAGCUGCCUUCCUUUAUAGCCUCUUGUGUAAAGCAAAGCAACUCCCACUUUCUUCUAUCCUCAAAACACAGAGAACUUGUGUUUGCUUGGCACUUAUAUUAACCUAAGUUAAAUACUUACAAAGCUUGUUGUAUUUAAUUUCCCCUUUUCCUGAGUUUUGUUUUUUCCAUUAAGAGAAUUCCAAUGUUUCAAACAAGAUAGAGCCUCUGUAAAACUCCUUGAAAAAUCCAUUAUUAUAUGAAUUAUAUGUUUUCCCAGGUGACUGAGUGUUUAAUGAAAAGAGUGUUAGUGUACCCAGAUGAUUACUAGUUCUCAGAGUUAAGGAGUGUGUGUGUGUGUGUGUGUGUGUGUGAGAGAGAGAGAGAGAGAGAGA